AGCUCACUGGUCAAGUGAUUCUGCGCCGAUAAUGUAGCGGGGCUCAAGUACACCGCCGAAGUUGUGGCAAUCAGUCUUUGUGGCUGGUUGGGUAGGGGAGCGUCCUGCACGAGGUGAAGCUGCCACGGGAGUGUGUGGUGGAUUGUGUGGGAGUGAGAAUGCAGGCAUGAGUAGCGAAUCACGGGUGAGAAACCCGUGCGCCGGAUGAUCAAGGGUUCCAGGGUCAAGUUAAUCUGCCCUGGGUUAGUCGGGGCCUAAGGCGAGGCCGACAGGCGUAGUCGAUGGAGAACGGGUUGAUAUUCCCGUACCAGUGAAGGACUGUCCAUACUGAUAUUGUGAUGCUAACCAUGCCGAUCACGGUGUCAUGAAGUUUUUCUUUGUGGUGUUGUGGGGUGUGUGGGACCCAAGCUUUGGAGGUAAGCGUGUUAACAGGUGUGACGCAGGAAGGUAGCCAAGCCACGCGGUGGUUGUCGUGGUCUAAGCGUGUAGGAUGACUGGUUGUUAAAUGCGCUGGUUGUGUGUCUGAGACGUGAUGGGACCCCUUGUUUGUGGGGGAUUUGGUGAUCCUAUGCUGCCGAGAAAAGCAUCGGCGUGAGGUUUUAGCUGCCCGUACCCGAAACCGACACAGGUGAUCAGGUAGAGAAUACUAAGGCGAUCGAGAGAAUCAUGGUUAAGGAACUCGGCAAAAUGCCCCCGUAACUUCGGGAGAAGGGGGGCCCUGAGCGUGAUCUGCCCGUGCGGUGGGGAGCGUGUAGGGGUCGCAGAGACCAGGGGGAAGCGACUGUUUAUCAAAAACACAGGUCCGUGCGAAGUCGUAAGACGAGGUAUACGGACUGACUCCUGCCCGGUGCUGGAAGGUUAAGAGGAUUGGUUAGCCCUGUGUGGGCGAAGCUGAGAAUUUAAGCCCCAGUAAACGGCGGUGGUAACUAUAACCAUCCUAAGGUAGCGAAAUUCCUUGUCGGGUAAGUUCCGACCUGCACGAAUGGAGUAACGACUUCCCUACUGUCUCAACCAUGAACUCGGUGAAAUUGCAGUACGAGUAAAGAUGCUCGUUUCGCGCAGCAGGACGGAAAGACCCCGUGACCUUUACUAUAGUUUGGUAUUGGUGUUUGGGUUGGCUUGUGUAGGAUAGGUGGGAGACUGUGAAGCCGCUACGCUAGUGGUGGUGGAGUCGUUGUUGAAAUACCACUCUGGUCAAUCUGGAUGUCUAACUUCGGGCCAUGAUCUGGUUCAGGGACAGUGCCUGAUGGGUAGUUUAACUGGGGCGGUUGCCUCCUAAAGUGUAACGGAGGCGCCCAAAGGUUCCCUCAGCCUGGUUGGCAAUCAGGUGUUGAGUGUAAGUGCACAAGGGAGCUUGACUGUGAGAGUGGCGACUCGAGCAGGGACGAAAGUCGGGACUAGUGAUCCGGCAGUGGCUUGUGGAAGCGCUGUCGCUCAACGGAUAAAAGGUACCUCGGGGAUAACAGGCUGAUCUUGCCCAAGAGUCCAUAUCGACGGCAUGGUUUGGCACCUCGAUGUCGGCUCGUCGCAUCCUGGGGCUGGAGUCGGUCCCAAGGGUUGGGCUGUUCGCCCAUUAAAGCGGUACGCGAGCUGGGUUCAGAACGUCGUGAGACAGUUCGGUCCCUAUCCGCUGCGCGCGUUGGAGAAUUGAGAAAGGCUGUCCUUAGUACGAGAGGACCGGGACGGACGAACCUCUGGUAUGUCAGUUGUACCGCCAGGUGCAUGGCUGAUUGGCUACGUUCGGGAGGGAUAACCGCUGAAGGCAUCUAAGCGGGAAGCCUGUUUCGAGAUGAGUUCUCCUGGCAUCCUUUGG
rnacentral:rRNA from 1 species